GCAAACUUGGUCAUUUAGAGGAAGUAAAAGUCGUAACAAGGUUUCCGUAGGUGAACCUGCGGAAGGAUCAUUAACAAAUCUACAACAACACCAUGUGUAAACGUAUGUGUUCCCUUGGGUUGCUUGCUUGUUGUUGUGAAAUAUCUCUAUCACGUCUCAUGUACGCUUGCUUAACUAUGGGUGAGGUUGGUUAGAGCAUCUAACAUGAUGGUGAUAGAGUAGUAGCAACACACACAGCUCUAGCUUUCGUUAGAGUGUGAGCUGUGAGCGAGGUUAGCUAACACUCUCAACGACUCAAGGGAACAUCCUUGGGAUAAACUAUAUUGAUGGACAGCCUGAGAUGAUAUUGCUUAAGUAUAGACAACUUUUAACAAUGGAUCUCUUGGCUCUUGCAUCGAUGAAGAACGCAGC
rnacentral:misc_RNA from 1 species